UGGGGAAUAUUGCACAAUGGGCGCAAGCCUGAUGCAGCCAUGCCGCGUGUAUGAAGAAGGCCUUCGGGUUGUAAAGUACUUUCAGUCGGGAGGAAGGUGGUAAGGUUAAUAACCUUAUCAAUUGACGUUACCGACAGAAGAAGCACCGGCGAACUCCGUGCCAGCAGCCGCGGUAAUACGGAGGGUGCAAGCGUUAAUCGGAAUUACUGGGCGUAAAGCGCACGCAGGCGGUUGAUUGAGUCAGAUGUGAAAUCCCCGGGCUUAACCCGGGAAUUGCAUCUGAUACUGGUCAGCUAGAGUCUUGUAGAGGGGGGUAGAAUUCCAUGUGUAGCGGUGAAAUGCGUAGAGAUGUGGAGGAAUACCGGUGGCGAAGGCGGCCCCCUGGACAAAGACUGACGCUCAGGUGCGAAAGCGUGGGGAGCAAACAGG
rnacentral:rRNA from 1 species